AGUCGGGGCGCGCCUUGACGGUGGACAGGAAGCUCUUUAGACUCUUGUACCCCUAAUUUGGCGGGGCCUUGCGCUCUGCCAUUUUCGUUUGUGUCGAAAGACAACAGUGGAGCUAGUAGA
rnacentral:sRNA from 1 species